rnacentral:lncRNA from 1 species
GCAGGAACCAAUCAGCGGUGAAGGCGGGCUCUCCUGGGUCGAGGGGGCGGGCACUUCCUGUGUCAUGGCGCUGCAGUAAUCUCUGCUGAGAGACCCCAGUUGUCUAGACCGCACUUUCUAUUUUAGUUUAUUUUUGUCUUUCUAAACUGCCUUCUGUAAUUUGUCCUGGCUGCCACGUGCACACGGAGGAUCCCGAGAGACCCUCAAGCCACGCAAUGCUGAGAGGGCAGGAAAUGGAGCAACAGUGCAUCAGGGAAGGAAGGCUGGUUCUGUGUAAACUGUCCAGUCAGGUACACUGUCCACAAUAAAGACUCUUUGUCAGGAACUCAUCAGAAGCUCCCAGGGUGCUACUGAAAGGCAGCCUGGCUGGC